AUGUCGUCUUGCACCCCCCGUGAGAAUACCACGACAUUUGGCGCCCACCGUGGGGCGGUACUAUGCUACCGCGCUGCUGCUGGUUUCGCGGUCCGGGCGGGACCAUCUUCGUCAUCAUCACCACGGCGUCGUGUCGUCUCUCCGGUAGCGCUCGGGGGCUCGACAUCGACCCGCCCCGGGAGCGACCGCGCGGGACGGCGCGUCCUUGUCGUCGGCAUCUCCCUCUUCAUCGCCACCAUCGCGGCGCCGCCGUUGUCCGCGUGCUACAUCUCGCUCCGGCCGGCCGGCGGCACCGGCUCCGCUCACCACGGACCUCUGCGGCCAUGCUGCCACUCCUCCCGCGUGCUCGUGGCCGCCACUGCUGGCACUGCUGUUGCGUUUCCCACUGCUGCCGUUGCUGCGUUGCCGCUGCUUCCGCUGCUACCUACCACUACCAUACACCAUCAAAAUCAUUGUCGUGCUCUUAUAUGCAAGUCAGAUACGCGCAAUUUACUACUCAUACGAGACCAACACUGCCUGGGCACGCGAGCGCCCCGCCCCGGGUCCGUGUCCCGCGCACGCGCCCUUCGCUUCCAUCGGCGCAGCCGCGCCUCGCCUCUCGGCCCGGCCGCCGUGUACUCCUCCGCCCGCGUCGGCAGCAGCCCCGACCCGGCCCGGCUCCUUCCCCUCCGCCGAGUUGCCGCGAGCUGGACGCCGCGUCUGGUGUCCGCACCAAUUCGGCCCGCCGGCAACGCGCCGGGUCCUCCCCGGACGGCCCUCCAGCCGUGCCCUGCUCCGCCUGGGCUCCCCGCUGCCGCCCGUCGCCGGCUCCUGCUCCACGCGACCCGGCCUCCGCCUCCUCCGCGAAAUCGGCAGCCUGCCGGCUCCUCCCGCGACCCGGCUGCGCCCGCUCGCCAGCUCCGAGCUCGCGUUGCCUCCUCCGGUCGGCUCCGCCGUCCGCCUCCGGCUUCGCCCGAGCGCCCCCGCCGCCUGUGCCGCUCCCGAGCUCGUCCGCCGGGUCACCGCGAGCCGUGCUCCACGUCCGGCGUCCGCGCAAGCUCGGAGUCCGGCUCCGGGUGGCUGCCCCGUGCUCGAAUGCGGCACCUCCGCCUCCUGGUGGCCACUGCUCUAGGCCGCCCCUGCGUCCACUCGUUCUGCUGCGUGCUGGAAGCAGCCGGCCAAAAGAGAAAGAGGAAACGGGGCCGGGUAGAAAAGUCAAAAGGCCAAUUGCUCACGGCUGAAGAGAGAGAAAAGUCACGCCGAGUUCCCAGCCGGCUGACAAAAAAAAAAGAAAGAAAGGAGGAGGAGUCCGUCUUAAAAAAGAAGAAGAAAAGAAGAAAGAAAUGUGCGUCCGACCUCUGGCUGCCUGGCCGGCUGCAAAAAGCCCGACUGCUGUGUCGAAGUCCGCUGCCCAGCCGGCUAAAAAAAAGAGAAGAAGACAAAGUAGUUACCGGGAGAUCCGGCUUGACUGCUCAGCAGUCAGCCCGAAUCUCGGGGGCUACACCCAGCGGGUGCGCUGGCGCGGCCCCGCGAAGAUUGCAGACAAGAGAAGAGUUUUGUCGGACUGCCAGCAGCCGGCAGAAGAGAAAAAGAAGAACAAGGGCGUUGCAAGACGCCUCGCCACCUGGCCGGUCGAGCCUGACUGGCUGGGGCCCCGCUUCGAGCACCCGGGGGCUCGAAGGCCACACCCAGCGGGUGCGCCGGCGCGCUCCGCGAGCGCCGAGCCGCGCCGGCUGUCUUAGGCAAACUCCACCUCGGCUACACGAAAAUUAA
rnacentral:rRNA from 1 species